CGUUUUUCGCUCGCAUCGAACGACUGCCGUCGUUGUCUCGAGAGGUCGCGUCCCUUUGGGGAUGCCGUCCUCGUGCAGCUACGGCGUCGGGGAGGAAUGC
rnacentral:misc_RNA from 1 species